AGUAGUUUGAUCAGUGGCUCAGGACGAACGCUGGCGGCGUGCCUAACACAUGCAAGUCGAACGGGGCUACUACGACGGAAGGCUUCGGCCGGAAGAUGUUUUAGCUUAGUGGCGGACGGGUGAGUAACGCGUGAGCAACCUGCCUUACAGAGGGGGACAACAGUUGGAAACGACUGCUAAUACCGCAUAAAGUAUUGAGAGGGCAUCCUUUUGAUACCAAAGAUUUAUCGCUGUAAGAUGGGCUCGCGUAUGAUUAGAUAGUUGGUGAGGUAACGGCUCACCAAGUCGACGAUCAUUAGCCGGACUGAGAGGUUGAACGGCCACAUUGGGACUGAGAUACGGCCCAGACUCC
rnacentral:rRNA from 1 species